AUGUUUUUACGCACCGCGUUUUUGCUCCCGACGCUUUUAUUUUUGACAACUUUGGAGUCAUCAGGAUGCUUUCAGACUGUGGUCCAGCCGAGCAAAGGCUCCACUGUGACGGUGUCCACCACGCUGCCUUUGGCUCAGUGUGCGGUGUGCACGGUCAGUGGGGACAACCUCACUUCCUGUCACUCCAUCCUGUCUCUGGUGCCUGAAGCGGAAGUUAAACUGCUCUUCAACUGCUCCCAGCCCCUGGAUCAGUCGUUCACAGUGACGGUUAAUCAUUCCAUCGAUUGCACUGACAAAUCGUGCCAGCCUCAGACAAUAGGAGUGCAGUCAUCCAUCCUGACAAAGUUCCCCAGAACCUUCAACUGGGAGGUGACAGCCCCUGGGGAGACCGUCGUGACCCUGGACAUCCUUGGAGAGGGGCUCAAGGAGACGUCACAGCCGUGCUCCGGUGGUCUGGAGUAUUCUGUGGCAGCAUCCAAAACCAACAACAAAGGCCUGACUCGGUACUGUAAAGCUGGGGACGUGACGCGACUGAACCUGCUGGAUCAAGCUCUUGUGUCUAUUCACGUAAAACCAGAGACCGUUGUGGAGUCUGUGCUGUUUCAGGCCUCCGCAGGACCCCUGGAGGCGCCCAAAAUGGACAUAACGGUUGGUCCAAGUUCAACAGUAGUCCUCAUGAAUAACCAGAAGUUAGGCAUUUGUAAAGUUUGCACUCAAGAAGGCCCCUUGCCUCAUUGCACCUCGCCAGGGCAAACGCUGACCAGCGGCAGACAGGUCACUGUGGAGUUCCUAUGCCUCAGACCGCAGGAUGUGAUCAGUGUAACCAUGAUGACAAAAAUGGAUUGCACACAGACUUCCUGCAAUCCUGCUGCUGCAGAGGUGGAUCCAAACUUCUUCAAGGACUUUAACAGAACCCUAACUUGGGAUGUCAGCGUCCCUGAGAGGACAGUUUUAAAUGUGAGCUUUCCUGUUGGUGGAGUUAAGGAGAUCAGUCAAGGAGAAACGUGCCGAGAUGGUUACCAGUACACAGUCAGUUUAACUAAGAGGGAUGGAGAUGUUCAAACUAGCAGCUACUGCAAAGGUGGGUCUGUGACCCAAUUGGAUUAUUUGGGAGCCACGACUCUGAUGGUUGUAGCCCCGGGGGGAGCAGAACUGGACGGAAACGUUUUCAGCGUUACUACAAGACCAAGAGGUGCAGAACUGUUGCAGAACUCUUUGAGAUCUUGUUUGUUACUGUCUGUUUAAAAAAAGCUUCUAAAUGUUCCUGAACCUUUUGCCUAAAGGUAGUAGAAUAAUGCCGGUGCAGCUCGACCAGGACGUCGUCGUCACCAUUCAUAGAAACGCUGCAGAGCCGGAGUGCAGUGUGUGCGUGGGCAAGGCCCCCGAACAGACCUGUGACCCCCAGUACCAGAGGCUGACCUACAGCCCCGACAUGUCUGUGGAGUUUACAUGUCCCAACCCGCAGGAAAUCUUCAAAAUGGACAUAAACAGAGAAAUAGGUGAGGAUAUUUGACUGCUUUUUAUUUAAUUUCAAAAGGUUGGGGCUGCUCUGCUGGUUGCAAAAUAUCUUUUUUCAUUUUAGAUUUAAAUAGUAAAGAAAAACAAUGUUUUGAAUUGAUGAUAUUUUUAACUCAUGGAUGUUGAGAAAAGGCUACAGUGUUGUCCAUCAUACUUUAAAAACCGUAUCAGGAGACAAAUGAUUAAAGCUGAGAUCUGCGCUGUUUGGCCUGCAUGCGCUGCCCCUGCUGCCCACCCAUUACCCCCUUUUUGCCUUUAAUUCCAUAACAACCGUUUUAUAUUCUGGAUGCGUGGG
rnacentral:lncRNA from 1 species